UGAGAAGUGGCUGCUGAAUUUGAUUCAGAGUCAAUGCAAUGCCCCUUCCUCCUGAUUCAGUUUCGCUAUGAGAAAAUGCAGGCCCACAUCUUUGUGGAGAAUGCCAGCAUCGCCUAGGCACUGAAGAAUGUCAGUGGCAAGAUUAGGGAUGAGGAUAACAAAAAGAUGUCAAUCUUUGUCAACCCCACUGAUACCCCCUGCAGAGAAAGCUGAAGUCGGAAAAGGCAAAGCAGAUAAAGCUGAUGGUGAAGAAGCGAUGUGAUUCCUCCCAGUCCAGUCUUGACAGCCAGAGACUCCCGUUUGACCCAGACCUGGUGACCAGUGACUCUAAGACGGCAUCGAAACCUAGAAAGUGCAUGGCUGCCUUUCUGCACGUCCUCCAAGACAACAUGCCUGAGGCGGAGUCUGUAGGACAGAUGGACAGGGGAAAGGGCUGGAGCCAGGAGACGUGUGCAGACAGGAACUUCCUGUCUACCACUUUCCCGGACAAACAAGUCUAGCAACAUAACCUCCAUCCUGGAAUUGUUCCCCAAAUUAUUAUGCCUGGAUGGUCAGCCAUCACCUAGACCAACUCUGUGUGGUAUUGAAGCCCUCAAGGUUACCAACUUGCAAGGGAAGCUUCUUUGGAUGUGACAUGCUGCAGAACCUGCUCCUGCAAUUUCUGCACUGCUUACCAUGACGGGGCCUGCCUCUGCCUGACCACUCCCCUCACCCAGAGAAACCAGCCUG
rnacentral:lncRNA from 1 species